rnacentral:rRNA from 1 species
UACGUAGGGGGCAAGCGUUGUCCGGAUUUAUUGGGCGUAAAGAGCGUGUAGGCGGCUAGGUAGGUCCGUUGUGAAAACUCGAGGCUCAACCUCGAGACGUCGAUGGAAACCAUCUGGCUAGAGUCCGGAAGAGGAGAGUGGAAUUCCUGGUGUAGCGGUGAAAUGCGCAGAUAUCAGGAGGAACACCGAUGGCGAAGGCAGAUCUCUGGGCCGUAACUGACGCUGAGGAGCGAAAGCGUGGGGAGCGAACAGG